rnacentral:rRNA from 1 species
AACGAACGCUGGCGGCAGGCUUAACACAUGCAAGUCGAGCGAGACCUUCGGGUCUAUCGUCGUACGGGGGAGUAACGCGUGGGAACGUUCCCUUCUCUACGAAAUAGCCCCGGGAAACUGGUAGUAAUACCGUAUACGCCCUUUGAGGGGAAGAUUUAUCGGAGAAGGUUCUGCCCUCGUGGGAUUAGGUAGUUGUUUGGCUAAUAGCUCACUAAGCCGAGCAUCCAUAGAUGGGUUGAGAGGAUGAUCAGACACACUGGGACUGAGAAACGGCCCAGACUCCUACGGGAGGCAGGAGUGGGGAAUCUUAGAAAAUGGGGGCAAUCAUGAUCUAGCCAUGACGGGUGAGUGAUGAAGGCAGUAGGGUUGUAAAGCUCUUUCAGCUAGGAAGAUCAUGACGGUACCAGAAGAAGAAGCCACGGCUAACUCCGUG